rnacentral:rRNA from 1 species
CGAACCCAAGUCAAGGGGGAUUAUCCGGUAAUUUUAAGCAUACCAGUAAGUGGAGGAAAGAAAACUUACACAGAUUUUCUUUAUAAUGAUAAGAAAAUCGAGAAUAGCUGAGCCUUAGAAUCGGGUGGCUUUAUCAUCUAAAUUGUAGUCUAGACAAGUGUCCUCAGAGGUGGAUCAAGCCUAAGUCCCUUGGAAGUGGGCACCAGAGAGGGUGAUAGCCCCAUUGUUCCCAGACCAUUUCAAAGCAUGAGGCACUAUCUACGAGUUGGGUUGUUUGGAAAUGCAGCCCAAAUCGGGGGAUGAAUUUCAUCCAAGGCUAAAUACAAGUGUGACACUGAUAGAGAAAAAUUAUCAUGAGGAAAAGAUAAAAAAAACUUUGAAUAGAGAGUUAAAAAGUGUUUGAAAUUAUUAGGAUGGAAGCUGAUGGGGGCCGACGAUGCGCCCCGAUCGAAUAUGGACGGUGACGAGCUGGUCCACUGAUGGACUUGGGGUGUGGACCAGUGUGGAUUGGGGAUGGCUAAAGCCUGGGCUCUCGAUACAUUCGUGAAAUGCUGUCUCCUUGAUUGUGGCAGGCAGCGCACGCCUCUGGUGUGCUUCGGCAUCUGCGUGAUCUGUACGCUAUCCUUAGACUCCCCAUUCGACUCAUCUUGAAACACGGUCAAAGAGUCUAAUAUGUGUGUGAGUCAACAGGUGAGUAAACCCAUAAGGCUUAAGGAAGAUGAUUAGUGGGAUCCUCCUGAGGGGUGCACCGCCGACCGACCUUAAUCUUUUGAGAAGGGUUCGAGUGUGACCAUACCUGUUAGGACCUAAAAGAUGGUGAACUAUUCCUGAGCGGGGUGAAGUAAGAGGAAACUCUAGUGGAGGCUCGUAGCAAUACUGACGUGAAAAUCGUUCAUCUGACUUGGGUAUAAAGGCGAAGGACUAAUCCAACUGCCUACUAGCUAGUUUCUCUGAAGUUUCCCUCAGGAUAGAUAGAAAUCACGUGUGAGUUCUACCUGGUAAAGAAAUGAUUAGAGUUAUCUUUUCUAUUUAACAGCCUGCCCAUCCUAGAAUUGGGUUAGCCGGAGGUAGGGUCCAGCGGAUGGUAGAGCGUCGCACGUCGUAUGGUGUUUGGUACAUUCCCAGCGGCCCUUGAAAAUCUAGAGGACCUAAUGUCAUCCACGCCCGGUCAUACUCAUAACUACAUCAAGUCUCCUAAGUGAACAACCUCUGGUCGAUGGAACAAUAUAGGCAAGGAAAGUCGGCAAAAUGGAUUCGUAACUUUAGGAAAAGGAUUGGCUCUAAGGGCUGGGCAUGAGGGUCCAGUAUCGAACCUAUUGGCUAUUGGUGGACUGCUCGAACUGCUACCAUGGUGAGAGCGGGUCGCCACAUACCGACCUAAAGAUGGACUGGAAAAGGUUCCAUCGAGGGCCUUUCCCUCGCGUUGAAUAGCCAACUUAGAAAUGGUACGUAAAAGGGGAAUCCAACAUCUAUUACUAGUCAUUGGGGUUGAUGCUUGGAAUGUAUCAAAUGGGAAUUUGGAUGCAAAGUAUGUGAGUUGUGUUCUGCAUAUGUGGUUAGGUUGGAUCCCUACUCGAUCAGAGAUGUCUUGAUCUACCUACAAUAUCAGUCAUGGGGAAAGCGCAAUUUAGGCUUGCUCAAAGUCGAUUUCUUACGCUAUAUUCCUAAUACCCAGGCAUUAACAAGUUUUAUUGAUCGUAUUUCUCCCCUCGCAUUUUGUUCGUGGGGUAAACGAAAGGCAACCCUUGUGUCCCAUACCUUUCUCGCUUUUUCGUGCGAUGUCAUAGUCCAUGAGUUGCGGUUGGGUUAAUCAAAUAUGGUAGAUGUAGUGGGCAUGGGGGCUUCAUCGACUCCUAUCUGCCCUAUAUGAUGCUUCUUGCAAAUGAUAGUCAUGCUCGCCUACAAUCGUCUGAGCCCUUUAGGGCAGGUCGAGCUCAUGCGACGCCGGCAUCGAUGAGGAAUUUUACCUGGUUAAUCCUUCUAGUAGUCAUUUACUAGUCUAAAAGAUUAAACCAUGCAUGUGUAAGUAUGAACAAAUUCAGACUGUGAAACUGCGAAUGGCUCAUUAAAUCAGUUAUAGUUUGUUUGAUGGUAUCUACUACUCGGAUAGCCGUAGAAAUUAUAGAUGUAAUACAUGCAACAAACCCCAACUUAUGGAACAGAUGCAUUUAUUAGAUAAAAGGUCAACUUAGGCUUUUCCCGUUGUUGUGAUGAUACAUGAUAAUUCGAUGAAUUACACGGCCAUCGUAUCGGCAAUGCAUUAUUCAAAUUUCAGCCCUAUCAAUUUUCAAACGUAGGAUUGUGGCAUACCAUGGUGGUAAUGGGUGAUGAAGAAUUAGGGUUUGAUUUCGGAGAAGGAGCCUCCAAAAAGGGUACUACAUCCAAGGAAGGCAGCAGGCAUGCAAAUUACCCAAUCCUGACACGGGGAGGUAUUGACCAUAAAUAACAAUACCGGGCUCAAUGAGUCUGGUAAUUGGGAUAAGUACAAUCUAAAUCCCUUAACGAGGAUCCAUUUGAGGGAAAGUCUGGCGCCGGUAGCCAAGGUAAUUCCAGCUCCAAUAGCGUAUAUUUAAGUUGUUGAAAUAACCUUAAACCAAUAAUUAAGUGCAUAUUUGUACAUAUAAUGUAAUGAUAUAAAAUAUUUAAAUUUAAGGAUAUUAAAUAAAAAAUUGAAAAAAAAUAUAAAAAUAACAAAGGGACAUUAGUUAAAACAUCCCAACAUAUGAGGUAACAUUGAAAUAUUGUUAAAAAAACUUAGUGUGUAUGUAACGAAAGAAGUAUCCAACAGUGAGGAAGAUGGAUAAACGUUAGCAAAAUAUUUUGAUGAUCGAACCUAGGUUUCCUCGUUGAUUCUACCAAGCCCGUUCGUCCCCUUUGCUAUAGUUUCGCUGGAUAGUAGACAAGAUAGUGGGAAUCUCAUUAAUGCAUUCAUGCGCGUCAUUAAUUAUAUGAUGAGGCAUUUGACUACCUUAAGACAGUCAUAAUUACUCUCGUUGUUUACCUACCCUUGGUUGAAUUUAUUCCCUUUGACAUUCAGAGCACUGGGCAGAAAUCACAUUGCGUGAACAUCUAUUGGACCAUUGUAAUGCUUUAUUUUAAUUAAACUGUCGAAUUACCCUUAACCGUACCAGUUCUUAGUUGUUUGUCGACGAGUGGGGAAUUCACCCAAAGGAACCGUUCCCAGUUCGUCCCCCAACCAACACGCGACGAUCCGAUAUCGCCGUAAGAGUAGAGCCCACAUCGACCUUUUAUCUAAUAAAUGCAAUCCUUCUAGAAGUUAUGGUUUGUUGCAUAUGUUAUCUCUGGAAUUAAUAUAGUUAUCCGAGUAGUAGAUAACAUCAAUGUCUUCUACCAAGAUCGACCUGCAAAGUGAGACUUGGGUUCAUACAGAGGGGCUGUGUCCAAUUUCCGAUUCACAAAAUAAGUAAAAUAAUGUUAAAAGUAGUAGUAUUUCACUUUCACCUUUCAUCUCACACUUAUACUACACCUCUCAAGUUAUUUCACAAAGUCGGACUAGAGUCAAGCUCAACAGGGACUUCUUUCCCCACUGAUUUUGUCAAGCGCGAUGCGGUCACUUUGUUGAGCCGCACCACGGAGUCAAGAACUCUAAGUAGGACAGUUUUGGCAAGCAGAACUGGCAAUGCAGGAUGAACUGGAAGUCGGGUAAUGAUGCCAAAUUGUGCGGUAAUAAAGAUCCUACAAAUGGUGUUGGUCAAUUAAGACAGCAGGAUAGUGGUCAUAGAAGUUGAAAUUCUCUAAAGAGCGUGUAAUAACUUACCUGCCAAAUCAACUAGACCCAAAAAUAAAUGGUUCUUAAGAGCGUACCCUAUACCAUACUAUUGGUGCAAGUGCCACGCCCCAUGAGUAGGAGGGAACGAUGGUUGCUGAGAAACCUUGGGCACAAGCCUGGGCGAAAUGGCCGUCGGUGCAGAUCUUGAUGGCACCAUGUGCUAGAUUAUGAUUGAAAUCCUCUAAGUAUGAAUUCGGGCUAGAAGAGAUGCAUGCUCCCAGCGUCUGCUUGUCGACCUACAGUAAAGGCCUCGGCUUUAAAGGGUACAUGUCAUUGGCUAAGCCACUGUGGCGGAAGGGUCGUGGUGGCUGCCUUGAAGUACAAUUUCUAUCGAGCGGUGGGUAGAAUCUUUUGCAGAUGAAUUAAAUAUGCGACGGGGUAUUGUAAGUGGGAGAGUGGCCUUGUUUCGAUGAUAUGCUGAGACUCAGCCCUUUGUCGCUCCGAUUCAU